rnacentral:rRNA from 1 species
UACGGGGGGGGCAAGCGUUGUUCGGAAUUACUGGGCGUAAAGGGCUCGUAGGCGGCCAACUAAGUCAGACGUGAAAUCCCUCGGCUUAACCGGGGAACUGCGUCUGAUACUGGAUGGCUUGAGGUUGGGAGAGGGAUGCGGAAUUCCAGGUGUAGCGGUGAAAUGCGUAGAGAUCUGGAAGAACACCGAAGGCGAAGGCAGCGUUCUGGGAAGCAACUGACGCUCAUGUGCGAAAGCCAGGGGAGCGAACGGG